AGUCAGGCCGCACAAGAAGGUGCCGCUCUCUGGCUGUCGUGGGAACGACAGCACCACAAGAGGUACGGAGUACAAAAAAAAAAGAGGGAGAAGAGUCGGCGGUUAUUGUUGAGCGGUGAGCUGGCGCCGGACAGAGUCAUUGUCGUCGUCGUCCGUUGGCUCGGCGAGAGUAGCGAUGCUACGUGGAGCGAGAUUCUGGCUCGGACGGGCAAAGCCGCGGACGGGUAUGGCAGCUCUCGGCGCCGAGACGUUUCUCCGGCACCGUUGGAUUGUCGGCGCGUUGCUCGCUGUGCCGAGUGAAGGUGAGAACGGGAAGGGGCACGCGAGCGGGCGGCAGCGUGGCCUCGCGAGCCGGAACACGGCCCCACGUCUGCCACGUCGCGGCAACGGCCGCACCCUCGUCCCGCCGUCCGCCCUGGGGCCUCGUCGUCGUCGUCGUCGCGAGCGGAACUGGCUCGAACGGCUCCGCUCGCUCGCUCGCCGUGGCUCAGCCGGGAGGA